AAGUCGUAACAAGGUUUCCGUAGGUGAACCUGCGGAAGGAUCAUUAUUGAAUAAAUCUGGCGUGAGGUUGUAGCUGGCUCUCUGGAGCAUGUGCACACCUUCGUCACCUUUAUCUUUCCACCUGUGCACACACUGUAGUCCUGGAUACCUCUCGCCGCAAGGCGGAUGCAGAGCCUGCUGUGACUUUGGCAACAAAGACCAGUCUUGCUCUGAAUUUCCAGGGUCUACGAUCUUUACACACCCCUAAACGAAUGUCAUAGAAUGUAUAUCCCUGGGCCUUUGUGCCUAUAAACCUUAUACAACUUUCAACAACGGAUCUCUUGGCUCUC
rnacentral:misc_RNA from 1 species